AUGCACACUAUUAAGAACUUGUGGAGAAGCUGGUAUGUUCGCAAUGAAAUGGUUCACAAUAAACUAGCACCACCCGUGGAGGUCUUUGUUUGUUUUCUUCAAAGUCACCUGGAUUCAAUCAUUGGAAUUAAAUUGAAUAUAAACGUUGAUUCACGUAAAGGGAAGAUGGUCAUAGCCCUUGACCAGACUGCUAAAAAUAACAGCGCUCCAGCUCUAGGUGUUGCUUCCAGUUGGCGGCCUCCAGCGCAAGGGUGGGUCAAGUUGAAUUCUAACGGGUCAUAUGUAUCAAAUGGAGAAGUUGGCGCAUGCAUGAUUCUCAGAGACGAUACAUGA
rnacentral:rRNA from 1 species